ACCUGAUUAAAGUUGAGAAAUUAUUUAAAAAUUAUUCUGACUCAUGGCCCAUCUUAUUUGCUUGCAGCUAUGGGAUUGGUAGGUCGGUAGAAUGCAUGGGCAAUCAGCAACUUUGAAUGUCCAUUUCAAGCUCUUAGCUGGUUGACAAUGAUGUAAGCCAUCUUGAAAGUAGCACGUAUGGAGCUCGACAGCCGCAUCAAAGUCAUCAAUGAGGGUACGUAGCUGACAUCUCAUUUGAAGGAAAUUGAAAGAGAUUGAAUAGAAAUGAAUUCGAAGGAUUUUUUGGGUAGGGUUAAAAUUCAGGAAGACAGAUUGAAAUUGUGUGUUGAACUUUCCGACACCGUUCCAUAUUUAUAGGAUGUAAUACGUACAACUCUUCACCAAAAAUUGCAUUGUUUCUCUUUUUAUAACUUCUAUAGAGGUUAUCAUAUUUCAUGAA